GGGGAAUAUUGCACAAUGGGCGCAAGCCUGAUGCAGCGACGCCGCGUGGGGGAUGACGGCCUUCGGGUUGUAAACUCCUUUCGCUAGGGACGAAGCUUUUGUGACGGUACCUAGAUAAGAAGCACCGGCUAACUACGUGCCAGCAGCCGCGGUAAUACGUAGGGUGCGAGCGUUGUCCGGAAUUACUGGGCGUAAAGGGCUCGUAGGUGGUUUGUCGCGUCGUCUGUGAAAUUCCGGGGCUUAACUCCGGGCGUGCAGGCGAUACGGGCAUAACUUGAGUACUGUAGGGGUAACUGGAAUUCCUGGUGUAGCGGUGAAAUGCGCAGAUAUCAGGAGGAACACCGAUGGCGAAGGCAGGUUACUGGGCAGUUACUGACGCUGAGGAGCGAAAGCAUGGGUAGCGAACAGGAUUAGAUACCCUGGUAGUCCAUGCCGUAAACGGUGGGCGCUAGGUGUGAGGGUCUUUUCACGACUUUCGUGCCGUAGCUAACGCAUUAAGCGCCCCGCCUGGGGAGUACGGCCGCAAGGCUA
rnacentral:rRNA from 1 species